rnacentral:rRNA from 1 species
AGUGAACGCUGGCGGUAGGCCUAACACAUGCCAGUCGAACGGCAGCACAGUAAGAGCUUGCUCUUACGGGUGGCGAGUGGCGGACGGGUGAGGAAUACAUCGGAAUCUACUUUUUCGUGGGGGAUAACGUAGGGAAACUUACGCUAAUACCGCAUACGACCUACGGGUGAAAGCAGGGGAUCUUCGGACCUUGCGCGAUUGAAUGAGCCGAUGUCGGAUUAGCUAGUUGGCGGGGUAAAGGCCCACCAAGGCGACGAUCCGUAGCUGGUCUGAGAGGAUGACCAGCCAAUCAGGCAUGGAGACACGGUCCAGAGGGCGGAGUGGGGCAGCAGUGAGGAAUAGGGGACAAUGGGCGCAGCCGUGAUCCAGGCGUACCGCGUGGGUGAAGCAGGCCGUGGUGUUGUAAAGCCUUUUGGUUGGGAAAGAAAAGCAGCACGGUAAUGCCCCGCUGUGCUGCCGGUAACCAAAGAAGAAGCACAGGCAACCGUCGUGCCAGCAGCCGCGGUAAGAGCGGAAGCGCACACGCUGAAC